CCUACGGGGAGCAGCAGUGAGGAAUAUUGGUCAAUGGACGCAAGUCUGAACCAGCCAUGCCGCGUGAAGGAAGACGGCUCUAUGAGUUGUAAACUGCUGUUGUAAGAGGGUAAACGCAGAUACGCGUAUCUGUCUGAAAGUAACGUACGAAUAAGGAUCGGCUAACUCCGUGCCAGCAGCCGCGGUAAUACGGAGGAUCCAAGCGUUAUCCGGAUUUAUUGGGUUUAAAGGGUGCGUAGGCGGGCGGAUAAGUUAGUGGUGAAAUCCCGCGGCUCAACUUCGGAAUUGCAUCUGAUACUGUCCGGCUAGAGUGUAGUUGCGGUAGGCGGAAUGUUUGGUGUAGCGGUGAAAUGCUUAGAGAUCAUGCAGAACUCCGAUUGCGAAGGCAGCUUACCAAGCUACUUCUGACGUUGAGGCACGAAAGCGUGGGUAGCAAACAGGAUUAGAUACCCGAGUAGUC
rnacentral:rRNA from 1 species